UACGUAGGGUGCAAGCGUUGUCCGGAAUUAUUGGGCGUAAAGAGCUCGUAGGCGGUCUGUCGCGUCGAUCGUGAAAACUUGGGGCUUAACCCUGAGCUUGCGGUCGAUACGGGCAUGACUGGAGUUCGGCAGGGGAGACUGGAAUUCCUGGUGUAGCGGUGAAAUGCGCAGAUAUCAGGAGGAACACCGGUGGCGAAGGCGGCGACCUGGGUAGAUACUGACGCUGAGGUGCGAAAGCGUGGGGAGCAAACAGG
rnacentral:rRNA from 1 species